rnacentral:rRNA from 1 species
AUUGAACGCUGGCGGCAGGCCUAACACAUGCAAGUCGAACGAGUGGCGGACGGGUGAGUAAUGUAUGGGAAACUGCCUGAUGGAGGGGGAUAACUACUGGAAACGUUAGCUAAUACCGCUUAACAUCGUAUGUGCCCUGAUGGGAGUAGCUAGUCGGUGGGGUAACGGCUCACCAAGGCGACGCUCCCUCGCUGGUCUGAGAGGUUGACCAGCCACACUGGAACUGAGACACGUGCCAGACUCCUACGGGAGGCAGCAGUGGGGAAUAUUGGACAAUGGGCGAAAGCCUGAUGGAGCCAUGCCGCGUGUAUGAAGAAGGCCUUCGGGUUGUAAAGUACUUUCAGCAGGGAGGCGUUACCCGCAGAAGAAGCACCGGCUAACUCCGUGCCAGCCGCCGCGGUAAUAC